rnacentral:rRNA from 1 species
AGAGUUUGAUCCUGGCUCAGGAUGAACGCUGGCGGCGUGCCUAACACAUGCAAGUCGAGCGAGAAGUUUAUGAAAGAACCUUCGGGUGAUAGAUUAGAUGGAAAGCGGCGGACGGGUGAGUAACGCGUGAGUAACCUACCCUAUACACAAGGAUAGCCAUUGGAAACGAUGAUUAAUACUUGAUAAGACCCCAUUAGCGCAUGCUAAAGUGGUAAAAGCUCCGGCGGUAUAGGAUGGACUCGCGUCUGAUUAGCUAGUUGGUAAGGUAAAGGCUUACCAAGGCGACGAUCAGUAGCCGACCUGAGAGGGUGAUCGGCCACACUGGAACUGAGACACGGUCCAGACUCCUACGGGAGGCAGCAGUGGGGAAUAUUGCACAAUGGGCGAAAGCCUGAUGCAGCAACGCCGCGUGAGUGAUGAAGGCUUUCGGGUCGUAAAACUCUGUCCUCAAGGAAGAAUAAUGACGGUACUUGAGGAGGAAGCCCCGGCUAACUACGUGCCAGCAGCCGCGGUAAUACGUAGGGGGCAAGCGUUAUCCGGAAUCACUGGGCGUAAAGGGUGCGUAGGCGGCUUAGCAAGCCAGAAGUGAAAGGCAGUGGCUCAACCAUUGUAAGCUUUUGGAACUGUUAGGUUGAGUGCAGGAGAGGAAAGUGGAAUUCCUAGUGUAGCGGUGAAAUGCGUAGAUAUUAGGAGGAACACCAGUGGCGAAGGCGACUUUCUGGACUGUAACUGACGCUGACGCACGAAAGCGUGGGGAGCGAACAGGAUUACAUACCCUGGUUAUUCUAUGCCGUUAAAUUAUGAAUACUACGGUGUCUGGCAGUCUAAUCUUCGGUGCCGCAGCUAACGCAUUAAGUGUUCCGCCUGGGGAGUACGCACGCAAGUGUGAAACUCAAAGGAAUUGACGGGGACCCGCACAAGUAGCGGAGCAUGUGGUUUAAUUCGAAGCAACGCGAAGAACCUUACCAGGUCUUGACAUCCCUCUGACCGGAACUUAGCCGUUCCUUCCCUUCGGGGCAGAGGAGACAGGUGGUGCAUGGUUGUCGUCAGCUCGUGUCGUGAGAUGUUGGGUUAAGUCCCGCAACGAGCGCAACCCUUGUCUUUAGUUGCCAUCAGGUAAUGCUGGGCACUCUAGAGAGACUGCCGGUGACAAACCGGAGGAAGGUGGGGAUGACGUCAAAUCAUCAUGCCCCU